AUGCACGCUGGCGGCGUGCCUAAUCCAUGCAAGUCGAGCGAACAGACGAGGAGCUUGCUCCUCUGACGUUAGCGGCGGACGGGUGAGUAACACGUGGAUAACCUACCUAUAAGACUGGGAUAACUUCGGGAAACCGGAGCUAAUACCGGAUAAUCUAUUGAACCGCAUGGUUCAAUAGUGAAAGACGGUUUUGCUGUCACUUAUAGAUGGAUCCGCGCCGCAUUAGCUAGUUGGUAAGGUAACGGCUUACCAAGGCAACGAUGCGUAGCCGACCUGAGAGGGUGAUCGGCCACACUGGAACUGAGACACGGUCCAGACUCCUACGGGAGGCAGCAGUAGGGAAUCUUCCGCAAUGGGCGAAAGCCUGACGGAGCAACGCCGCGUGAGUGAUGAAGGUCUUCGGAUCGUAAAACUCUGUUAUUAGGGAAGAACAAAUGUGUAAGUAACUAUGCACGUCUUGACGGUACCUAAUCAGAAAGCCACGGCUAACUACGUG
rnacentral:rRNA from 1 species